UGGCGAGUGGCGGACGGGUGAGGAAUACAUCGGAAUCUACUCUGUCGUGGGGGAUAACGUAGGGAAACUUACGCUAAUACCGCAUACGACCUACGGGUGAAAGCAGGGGACCUUCGGGCCUUGCGCGAUUGAAUGAGCCGAUGUCGGAUUAGCUAGUUGGCGGGGUAAAGGCCCACCAAGGCGACGAUCCGUAGCUGGUCUGAGAGGAUGAUCAGCCACACUGGAACUGAGACACGGUCCAGACUCCUACGGGAGGCAGCAGUGGGGAAUAUUGGACAAUGGGCGCAAGCCUGAUCCAGCCAUACCGCGUGGGUGAAGAAGGCCUUCGGGUUGUAAAGCCCUUUUGUUGGGAAAGAAAUCCAGCUGGCUAAUACCCGGUUGGGAUGACGGUACCCAAAGAAUAAGCACCGGCUAACUUCGUGCCAGCAGCCGCGGUAAUACGAAGGGUGCAAGCGUUACUCGGAAUUACUGGGCGUAAAGCGUGCGUAGGUGGUCGUUUAAGUCCGUUGUGAAAGCCCUGGGCUCAACCUGGGAACUGCAGUGGAUACUGGGCGACUAGAAUGUGGUAGAGGGUAGCGGAAUUCCUGGUGUAGCAGUGAAAUGCGUAGAGAUCAGGAGGAACAUCCAUGGCGAAGGCAGCUACCUGGACCAACAUUGACACUGAGGCACGAAAGCGUGGGG
rnacentral:rRNA from 1 species